rnacentral:miRNA from 1 species
GGGAAUUUUUGGAGGGGUACAG